rnacentral:rRNA from 1 species
GUGCUGCAUGGCUGUCGUCAGCUCGUGUCGUGAGAUGUUGGGUUAAGUCCCGUAACGAGCGCAACCCUUAUCCUUAGUUGCCAGCGAUUAAUGUGGGGAACUCUAGGGAGACUGCCGGUGAUAAACCGGAGGAAGGUGGGGACAACGUCAAGUCAUCAGGGCCCU